rnacentral:rRNA from 1 species
UACGGAGGGGGCUAGCGUUGUUCGGAAUUACUGGGCGUAAAGCGCACGUAGGCGGAUAGUUAAGUUGGGGGUGAAAUCCCGGGGCUCAACCCCGGAACUGCCUUCGAUACUGGCUAUCUGGAGGGCGGGCGAGGGUGGUGGAAUUGCCGGUGUAGUGGUGAAAUGCGUAGAGAUCGGCAGGAACACCAGUGGCGAAGGCGGCCACCUAGCCCGCACCUGACGCUGAGGCGCGACAGCGUGGGGAGCGAACUGG